rnacentral:snRNA from 1 species
AUACUUACCUGGCAGGGGAGAUACCAUGAUGACAAAGGUGAUUUUCUCAGGGUGAGCCUUAUCUGGAUGUGGUGACCUCUGCAAUUUUCCCAAAUGCAGGAAACUCAACUGCAUAAUUUACUGUAGUGGGGGACUGUAUUUAUGCUCUCCCCUA